rnacentral:rRNA from 1 species
CCUACGGGGCGCAGCAGUGAGGAAUAUUGGUCAAUGGGCGGAAGCCUGAACCAGCCAAGUAGCGUGCGGGAUGAAGGCCCUACGGGUCGUAAACCGCUUUUGCACGGGGAUAACACCCUCCACUUGUGGAGGUCUGCAGGUACCGUGCGAAUAAGGGCCGGCUAAGUCCGUGCCAGCAGCCGCGGUGAUACGUAGGGAGCCAGCGUUGUCCGGAAUUACUGGGUGUAAAGGGGGCGUAGGCGGGGAUGCAAGUUGGGUGUCAAAACUACCGGCUCAACCGAUAGUCGCACUCAAAACUGCAACUCUUGAGUGAAGUAGAGGCAGGCGGAAUUCCUAGUGUAGCGGUGAAAUGCGUAGAUAUUAGGAGGAACACCAGUGGCGAAGGCGGCCUGCUGGGCUUUUACUGACGCUGAGGCUCGAAAGUGUGGGGAGCAAACAGGAUUAGAUACCCUUGUAGUC